rnacentral:rRNA from 1 species
UAGGUCUCAGUUCAGAUUGCAGGCUGCAACCCGCCUGCAUGAGGUCGGAAUUGCUAGUAAUCGCGGAUCAGCAUGCCGCGGUGAAUACGUUCCCGGGCCUUGUACACACCGCCCGUCACACCAUGGGAGCCGGUAAUACCCGAAGUCAGUAGUCCAACCUCGUGAGGACGCUGCCGAAGGUAGGAUUGGCGACUGGGGUGAAGUCGUAACAAGGUAAC